rnacentral:piRNA from 1 species
UNCUGAUAGAUGAAUAUGGUCAGGGCUUUG